rnacentral:rRNA from 1 species
UGAGGAAUUUUCGGCAAUGGGGGCAACCCUGACCGAGCAACGCCGCGUGCAGGAAGACGCUUUUCGGAGUGUAAACUGCUUUUCCCAGGGACGAGAACAAGGACGGUACCUGGGGAACAAGUCUCGGCUAACUACGUGCCAGCAGCCGCGGUAAUACGUAGGAGGCGAGCGUUGUCCGGAGUUACUGGGCGUAAAGGGCACGCAGGCGGUCUCUCAAGUUUGGAGUGACAGUUGGUGGCUUAACUGCCAAAGUGCUACAAAAACUGAGAGACUUGAGAGCUUCAGAGGGACUCGGAAUUCCGGGUGGAGUGGUGAAAUGCGUAGAGAUCCGGAGGAACACCAAAGGCGAAGGCAGAGUCCUGGGGAGCAUCUGACGCUCAGGUGCGAAAGCCAGGGGAGCGAACGG